GACAAACAUUGUGUGUAAACAAUAUCUCCUUCAUGGUGUGUGAGUUGGAGUUGUGUGGGAUAGUGUUCACACAUCUGCCCCUCUAUCUUAUGAACGACUCGACCCAAGAAUAGAGUAGUGGUGCAAUGGCAGGGUUUGGCUUAGAAGAAAUUGGCAUCCCAGGAGGUGUGUAUCUUAAGGAGUCACUUACACACUGUACAGAUCCUCUAAAGGCUAUAGAAGAAUUUCAGUUAGAGAAUGGGAUCCUUCUGCCAUCACUGAGACCCAUGUUACAUCUCUUGGAUUUGCACGGGGUUAAGCGACUUGACUUUCACAAUUCUAUCAUGGAGGUGAGAUGUGGCUUUAGCUU